UACGUAGGUGACCAGCGUUGUCCGGAUUUACUGGGCGUAAAGAGCGCGCAGGCGGUCGUUCAAGUCGAGUGUGAAAGCCCCCGGCUCAACUGGGGAGGGUCACUCGAUACUGAUCGACUUGAAGGCAGGAGAGGGAAGCGGAAUUCCCGGUGUAGUGGUGAAAUGCGUAGAUAUCGGGAAGAACAUCAGUGGCGAAGGCGGCCUGCUGGGCUGUUGCUGACGCUGAGGCGCGACAGCGUGGGGAGCAAACAGG
rnacentral:rRNA from 1 species